rnacentral:rRNA from 1 species
AACGAACGCUGGCGGCAUGCCUAACACAUGCAAGUCGAACGAGACCUUCGGGUCUAGUGGCGAACGGGUGCGUAACGCGUGGGAACCUGCCCUUAGGUUCGGAAUAACUCCCCGAAAGGGGUGCUAAUACCGGAUAAUGUCUUCGGACCAAAGAUUUAUCGCCUUUGGAUGGGCCCGCGUUGGAUUAGCUAGUUGGUAGGGUAAAAGCCUACCAAGGCGACGAUCCAUAGCUGGUCUGAGAGGAUGAUCAGCCACACUGGGACUGAGACACGGCCCAGACUCCUACGGGAGGCAGCAGUGGGGAAUAUUGGACAAUGGGCGAAAGCCUGAUCCAGCAAUGCCGCGUGAGUGAUGAAGGCCUUAGGGUUGUAAAGCUCUUUUACCCGGGAUGAUAAUGACAGUACCGGGAGAAUAAGCUCUGGCUAACUCCGUG